rnacentral:rRNA from 1 species
CCUACGGGAGGCAGCAGUGAGGAAUAUUGGUCAAUGGACGCAAGUCUGAACCAGCCAUGCCGCGUGCAGGAAGACGGCUCUAUGUGUUGUAAACUGCAUUUGUACGAGGGUAAACGCAGAUACGUGUAUCAGUCUGAAAGUAUCGUACGAAUAAGGAUCGGCUAACUCCGUGCCAGCAGCCGCGGUAAUACGGAGGGUUCAAGCGUUAUCCGGAUUUAUUGGGUUUAAAGGGUGCGUAGGCGGUCGGCUAAGUUAGAGGUGAAAGCCCGGGGCUCAACUUCGGAAUUGCCUCUGAUACUGUUCGGCUAGAGAGUGGUUGCGGUAGGCGGAAUGUAUGGUGUAGCGGUGAAAUGCUUAGAGAUCAUACAGAACACCGAUUGCGAAGGCAGCUUACCAAGCUACUUCUGACGUUGAGGCACGAAAGCGUGGGGAGCAAACAGGAUUAGAUACCCGGGUAGUC